CGUUGGGCUCCGCGCGACGUAAAGUUGUGAACCCCGCCAGGACCGGAAGGUAGCAACGGUAAGCAAUCCCUUACGUGUGCCACGGAUCACCUAAGACUC
rnacentral:SRP_RNA from 1 species